rnacentral:misc_RNA from 1 species
GAUGAAGAACGCAGCGAAAUGCGAUAAGUAAUGUGAAUUGCAGAAUUCCGUGAAUCAUCGAAUCUUUGAACGCACAUUGCGCCCUCUGGUAUUCCGGGGGGCAUGCCUGUUCGAGCGUCAUUUCAACCUUCAAGCCCGGCUUGUGUGAUGGGUGACCGUCCCUCCUCUCGGCGGGACGCGCCCGAAAUGCAGUGGCUAGACCGCGAUUCCGGCGUCUGAGCGAAUGGGAUAACCACCGCUUCUAGAACCGGCCGGCCCUGGUCCCAAAAACAUCGAUCCUCGCGGAUCACCCAGGUUGACCUCGGAUCAGGUAGGGAUACCCGCUGAACUUAAGCAUAUCAAUAAGCGGAGGA